UACGUAGGUGGCAAGCGUUGUCCGGAUUUAUUGGGUUUAAAGGGUGCGUAGGCGGUCUUAUAAGUCAGUGCUGAAAUAUCCCGGCUUAACCGGGAGGGUGGCAUUGAUACUGUAGGACUUGAGUAGAGUUGAGGUUGGCGGAAUUGACGGUGUAGCGGUGAAAUGCUUAGAUAUCGUCAAGAACACCGAUAGUGAAGACAGCUUACCAAGCUUCAACUGACGCUGAGGCACGAAAGUGUGGGGAUCAAACAGG
rnacentral:rRNA from 1 species